CUCAAAUUUGAAAUCUGGCUCUUUCAGAGUCCGAGUUGUAAUUUGCAGAGGGCGCUUUGGCUUUGGCAGCGGUCCAAGUUCCUUGGAACAGGACGUCACAGAGGGUGAGAAUCCCGUACGUGGUCGCUAGCUAUUGCCGUGUAAAGCCCCUUCGACGAGUCGAGUUGUUUGGGAAUGCAGCUCUAAAUGGGAGGUAAAUUUCUUCUAAAGCUAAAUAUUGGCCAGAGACCGAUAGCGCACAAGUAGAGUGAUCGAAAGAUGAAAAGCACUUUGGAAAGAGAGUCAAACAGCACGUGAAAUUGUUGAAAGGGAAGCGCUUGCAGCCAGACUUGCUUGCAGUUGCUCAUCCGGGCUUUUGCCCGGUGCACUCUUCUGUAGGCAGGCCAGCAUCAGUUUGGGCGGUGGGAUAAAGGUCUCUGUCACGUACCUCUCUUCGGGGAGGCCUUAUAGGGGAGACGACAUACCACCAGCCUAGACUGAGGUCCGCGCAUCUGCUAGGAUGCUGGCGUAAUGGCUGUAAGCGGCCCGUCUUGAAACACGGACCAAGGAGUCUAACAUCUAUGCGAGUGUUUGGGUGUCAAGCCCGAGCGCGUAAUGAAAGUGAACGGAGGUGGGAACCCGCAAGGGUGCACCAUCGACCGAUCCUGAAGUUUACGGAAGGAUUUGAGUAAGAGCAUGGCUGUUGGGACCCGAAAGAUGGUGAACUAUGCUUGAAUAGGGUGAAGCCAGAGGAAACUCUGGUGGAGGCUCGCAGCGGUUCUGACGUGCAAAUCGAUCGUCAAAUUUGGGCAUAGGGGCGAAAGACUAAUCGAACUAUCUAGUAGCUGGUUCCUGCCGAAGUUUCCCUCAGGAA
rnacentral:rRNA from 1 species